rnacentral:rRNA from 1 species
AAGUAGUAAUAAGUUAAACUAUAGUAAAUCGGCGGCAUAUUUAUUUUAUUAGAGGAACUUGUUUAUUCUACGACAAUACGCGAUACAAUUUAAUAAUGGUUAAAAGUUUAUAUAUCGCCGUCUAAAGAACAAGAUAAAAUCCUCACUUCUUACAAUUUAAUUAAAAAUAAGUCAGGUCAACAUAUAGCCUAUCCAUUAUAAAAAAUGAGUUACAUUAAUUAUAUUUACAAUAUAAUUUUAAAAAUAUAAAAAAAUUAGAAUUUAAUAGUAUAUAAAUACAAGAAUAAUUUAUAGAAAAUAAAAAUCAUGUGU